rnacentral:rRNA from 1 species
UACGGGGGAGCAAGCGUUGUUCGGAUUUACUGGGCGUAAAGGGCGCGUAGGCGGCGCAACAAGUCACUUGUGAAAUCGUCCGGCCGUUAACCCGGAGCGGCCAAGGUGAUACGUGUCGUGCUAGAGUGGCGGGAAGGGGCUACUGGAAUUCUCGGUGUAGCGGAUGAAAUGCGUAGAUAUCGAGAGGAACACCUGCGGCGAAGGCGGGUAGCUGGGCCGACACUGACGCUGAGGCGCGAAAGCCAGGGAGGCGAACGGG